UAGUACCUAGUGUCUUCUACAGAUUAUAGAGACACAACUGAACCAACAUUGCGAUGCAGAGGCCGGGGGCAAUCCUCCUUUUCGAAAAGAAAAAAACAGCUGAACCAACAUACACACUUGACACUUCCUAUCAUACAGAUGACUACACACUGAACCAACAUAGACACUGCCCUAUCCAUAGUGUGAAAAAAGCAGUUCAUCAUCUAUCUAAUGCAAACAAUCCUUCUUCUCCAUCAUUGUUAAUUCACAGUCUGAAAAAAAGGAUCAAACACGACAUUAGACCAAUCAUUAAGAUAUACAGCACAAAGGGACGCCAUUAACACUGAACCAAAAAGCUGAAAAUACAUAGUACAUGAGACAGCGAGUGACAUAGACGAGUACAGUAAAUUAGGCAACCUUUAGCCAAAAGUACAACUAAAAAAGACUGGAAGUCAUGAACCUCUUUACUGUAAAUUUGAAGUAUAAAAAACAGAAGUGCUUACAUCUUCAAAAAAAAUCAGUAACAAGAAGUCUAGAACUUAUCCACCCUGUUGAACUCACUGAAAAACUUAUCAUUAGCAUACUUUGUCCUUAAGUUGGGAAUGUCAGCGCUUGAAAAAUGGUCAACAACUUGAGUCCUUGCAGUCCACACUUCCAUAAACUCCAAUGUAAAGACACCACAAUUGUGUGCCUGGUUUCACAUGAAUAAAGGAAGAAAAAAAAAGAUACCAACAAAAUCAAGAACAGAAUAUAAGAGAAAAUCAGGCCAGCUAUACUAAAAAACAAAUUACCUAUUGGUCUGAUUGGAACAGCUAUAGGUCGAUAACAUCAUUUGUUUUCCAAACUGUUUUGUUUCCUCAACAUGGGAGUAAUAAAAGUGUCCCAGAAUCCUAUAAAGUUUGUAAUACGCUCGAAUAAAGGAAAAUACAAGAGAUAAAUCUUAAAAGAUAACAACACAGUGCCUUCAAAAGGGAAACAAAUUGAUUAAAAUGUACUAGCAUAUCGCCAAUCUGCAAGUGAAAUUCAGAAUGCUCAUUAAAAGCUGGAUCAAGUAAAGUAAAGGCUCUUCCCUUCAAACAAACAAAGAAAGAAAACCAAUGCUUUCGAACGGUUACAGAGAAGUACAGCUGGAACAAGGAAGAAUAAUAUGAAGAAAAAUGUAUAUAGAGAAAAUGAGAAAUAAAAAAGAAAUGGCAAAGACAAACACCAAAAAAGAAGGCAGAAAUUAAAUUACUAUCAUGGAGGAAAUGAAAAAUAAAAAGAAAGAGCAAAGACAAACACCAACAAGGAACCAUGGAGUUAGAAAUCCUUCAAUUCCAAUUGGGGCAAAGAUAAACACCAAAGCUGCAACAACUAAUUGGGGGAGAGCCAUGGAAGAUCAUACAAGAGACGAUCCACAGGCCGGAAAUCCUUCAAUACCAAUGUCUUUGCUCAUGCCUAGUGAUUUUCUAUGAGAUCUAGAACCGGUAAAAUCACAAGAAUGAAAAGCAGAGAUCACAAAUUCUUUUCAUUUGACAGAGUGUAUUGCACAGAGCACUCUAGUCAAAAUCAAAGAAACUGGUCAGUUUUGUUUCAAAAUCACCAGGGCAAAAGAAACUAAAAUUUACAGUAGCAAAAAAGUACUGAAAUUACUAUUAUCAAGUUGCAACACUAACCAAAGGUAGAUUCAGUAUAUAUUAACAGUGUGAAUAGAUAGAACACUACCCAACAAAGACACUGUGAUUUACAGUCUAAUUACCACUGUAAUUUUACUGAAAUUACACUGUGAUUUGCAUUGACUGUAAAUACAGUAAAUAUUCUAGUAAAAAUGGCACUGUGAUUACCCAUGGAAAUUACACUGUAACAACAUUGUAAAUAUAGAGAAAUUGCACUGUAAUUACAGUAAAUAGCAGUGUGAUUUACAGUGUAAUUACCCUAAAAAUUACGCUGUAAUUACACUGCAAUUACAAGUAUACUGUAAGAGCACUAUAAUUACAAUACGAUUACUCUGUAAUUUCAGAGGAAAUGACACUGUAAUUAAAAUGAAAUUACAAUCUUAAAGCUGUUGUAAACUUAGAUGCAACACUACGGAAAACAUAGAAAAAAUGUUAUAAAAUGGAUACAAAUACUACCAAACAAAGACAAACCACAAAGAUAAAGAUGCAACACUACGGUUCUAAAAUGCUUGCAGACCCAACAUAGUCAAACUUCAUUGUGAUCUAGUGUAAUUAACCUGAAAAUAGCACUAUAAUAACCUGAAAUUACAUUGUAAUUGCAGUGCCUGUAAACUAAAAAUCAUAGAAGUUACAGCAAAAAUUGCACAAUGGUUACCUCUGGAACUUACACUGAAAUUACAAUGUCACUACUAUGUGAUUUCAAAUGAAAUUACACUGUAAUUAAAAUGAAAUUACAGUUAUGGUUACCUCUGGAACUUACACUGAAAUUACAAUGUCACUACUCUAUGAUUUCAGAGGAAAUUACACUGUAAUUAAAAUGAAAUCAGAUUUAUGAAGUUGUGGUAACUUAGAUGCAACUAGUACCUAAAAACGAACACCCCUGGAUCUAACAACAAAAAACGUCAGCGGAAUCAAACGCCCAGGUUAGCAGAAAGAAAAUCAACAGGGGAAUCGGAUCCACCGCUACAUCCAUCCACCUAUCAAUGUAAUUGCAAAAAAAUCGCCAAAAUCCACCUCUAAGACUACACAUACACCUACAUCUACAUCAAACACAAGGGGAAUCGAAUCAAACCACAAGAUCUAGAAGAAAUUCAAUGGGGCAAGGGAGAAGACCAGGAUAUCCAACUGAAACCACACGGCACUGGAGCGGAAAUCAAUCUGAAGAAGAGGAGGAGGAGAAGAUGGGAAUCACCAUGGACGACGAGGAAAUCGCCAAGAAUCGCCUCCCUCUCUCAGCUUUAACUCUCGCCAAGAAAUGAGAAAGGACAAAAAAAAGACAGAGAACAAAAGGGAUAGGCGGUAACGGGCUGGCUGGGAAACGAAAGCGCACCCGGUAACAGAGACAGAAAAAAAAAGUCCAAAAAAGCCAGCACCCAGCGCGGAUCUUGGCACAAGACCAAGCGGCCAGAAAUUUGAAUGAAACCCAAUUGUAAAUCACUCGACUGUUAAUUAGCAAAACCGUAAAAUAAAGGACGGACACAGACAGCGUACGGACUAAAGCAAACCGUAGGGACUCACCUGAUGCAAUUAGAAAAGGAGUAUCCUGUCAGGUGUCUAUUAUAAUUCAUACAGGAUCCAACUAAAAAAAUAGAAUUCAAACACGAUAAAUCAAGCAGUAAAAAAGGCCA
rnacentral:lncRNA from 1 species